rnacentral:rRNA from 1 species
GGAAUUAUUGGGCGUAAAGAGCUCGUAGGCGGCUUGUCACGGCGGGUGCGAAAGCCCGGGGCUUAACCCCGGGUCUGCAUUCGAUACGGGCUAGCUAGAGUGUGGUAGGGGAGAUCGGAAUUCCUGGUGUAGCGGUGAAAUGCGCAGAUAUUCGGAAGAACACCCAUGGCGAAGGCAGCACUCUAGGCUUGAGCCGUAAAGGUUAACCUGACGCUGAGGUACGAAAGCCAGGGGAGCGAACGGG